UACGUAGGGUGCGAGCGUUGUCCGGAAUUAUUGGGCGUAAAGAGCACGCAGGCGGUUUGGCAAGUCGGAUGUGAAAACCCGAAGCUCAACUUCGGGCCUGCAUCCGAAACUGCCCGACUAGAGGUAGGUAGGGGAGAUCGGAAUUCCUGGUGUAGCGGUGAAAUGCGCAGAUAUCAGGAGGAACACCGGUGGCGAAGGCGGGUCUCUGGGCCGAUAUUGACGCUGAGGAGCGAAAGCGUGGGGAGCGAACAGG
rnacentral:rRNA from 1 species